CACAUCUGUACGUUGCAAUCUGUGGAUCAGCUACGAGGUAAGUCGCUCUUUGGAAGGGGUGGAGGUCUUUGCUGGACUUGUCUUCCGAAAAGUAUGAAGAGUGGAAGUCAAGGCUCAGAAUGGCGUCCUUUUUUACCUUAUCACCUUAACAAAAACUUCACCUUAGCUGCAGGGUUAAACCUCUGGGUUGGGGCUGGGGAUUUUCGUUGUUGUUGUUUUAAAGCAGCAGCCAAGGCCAUGUUUUUUAAGGUGGUGAGUUAAACGGAGCAAGAGCUGCGGUAGCCUUUUCCACCCAAUCUCUUUCUUCACAUCCUAGUCACAGCCAAGGGUAGGGUGGAUGGCAGUGAGGAUAAACAGCCCAGAAACAGGAUUCCUGCAGGGUGGGACUGGCAUUUUCCAUUUUUAUCUGAAGUUGUACUUUGAAUGCAGACACCUUUCUCUCAGGCCAGAAGCACUGCUCAUUUGUAUUGCUGGCUUCCAGUUAGCCUAUUUGCAAGGAUUACUUAGGAUUUCCAGACUGCAGGCCCAGCUACCCAGAGAGUGUGCCUCAAAGCCCCACCUCAAAGCUUUUAUCUCUAUGUGGCGGGAAACACCCACGAAAAUGCCAACGGCGGUAUUUGUAACUUGCCUUCUUCCUUUUGGGAACUGCUUUCUGCAGCUCUCUCUGCGUUAGAGGAAUAGCUACAGCUGGGAGCUGCUCCAGCCACGCAGGAGGAGAGGGCACCCAUUGAGAGGCGGGCACCCCUUCUGUCUCCCUCUGGCUAUGUUAACUGGAAACUAGGAAAGGGGUUCAGAUCAAAGUAACUGCUGUCUUCAGAAAGUUCCAUUCAUUAACUAAGUUAGCGGAAAUUAAAUGGUGUUUGGAGGAAGGUCAUUUCAGAAGGCCCAGGGCCAGAGGCUGAGGUCUAAAACUUCUAAUCUGGACUUCUAUUGAAGUUUGGCAGUAAGUUAAACAGGAAGUUGAAGGCUACCAUAUGUAAAUCCAGUUGUUGCCUGAAAUCAGUCAUUUCAAGGGAGUAUCUUGAAAGGACACAGACUGGGAAACAGGCAUGAGAAAAAAAAAAGGAAGUAGACAGACAUUUGGCUAGUAUGUGCCUGGACCACUUAACACUAAAGAUUAGAAACCUAGGGCUCUGAGUAAGAAUCAUUUGACCAGUAGCUAAAGUGAGUCAUGGCCUGCACAGAACUAGGGCACACAUGUUGAAGUCAGGAUGUUGAGAACAUCAGGCUUACUAAUUUGCAAGGCAGGAGUGCUGCUUCCAGUAGGGAAUGUGAUCAGGAUUUCACGGCUCAUUUUCCCAGCCUUUCCAACAGGUGCAAUCAAGUCAUCCGUGUACACAAGUGACUGCCCUGUUACAUCUGUUAGGAUUAAAUUUCCAUUUGUUCCAUUACUUUAUAUGAAGUGAUUUCUACUGCUGAGUCAGACAGAACACUUCCUCUUAGACCUAGGGACUUUUUUCAACAUUUUUAACAAUGUGUGUGUUUUUCAAAAUGUGUCCCAACCAGGUCUGCAGGUCUUCCUGGGUUGAAUGGACUGUUUACAGAAGGGGAAGAUUCAGGCCCAAGGUCAGGGUUACAGAAUUAUAUAAGGUUUCCUGUUUGGGCAGCUGGUCUAGCAACACCUCUGGUUGGGGCAGACUGGGUCUUGUUGAGAGAUAGCAUGCCCAGGAGGCUAGGGCAGGGAGAGUGCCAGGAGCAGGAAAGAACAUUUUUCUUUUCUUUUUUUUUUUAAGACCGUGUCUUACUCUGUCACCCAGGCUGGGGUGCAGUGGUGCGAUCUCGGCUCACUGCAACCUCCGCCUCCCAGGUUCAAACGAUUCUCCUGCCUCAGCCUCUCGUGUAGCUGGAAUUACAGCCGCCCGCCACCAUGCUUAGCUUAUUUUUAUAUUUUUAAUAGAGACGGGGUUUCACCAUGUGGGCCAGGCUGAUCUUGAACUCCUGACCUUAGAUGAUCUGUCUGCCUCGGCCUCCCAAAGUGCUGGGAUUACAGGCUUGAACCACCAAGCCCGGCCUGACAUUUUUCUUUUAAAUCUUUUAUCAACCAGCUUUCAUUUCUUGUCAGAUGUCACUUUUCAGCAACCUGUUGCUAUAUUCUCUGUUAGGAGAACUUUUUUUUUUUUUUUCUGGCCAGACUGAGAGAAAGGAAUGAAAGGAUGGAAGAAUUACAAGAUCAGGCACUGCUGUCUGUCUGUUCCACGGAUGUAACCACAGCACACGCGUGGCUCACGGUACUAGUGUGAUAAAUGCUUGUUACAUGAAGGCGUGAACAGGGAUGAGAAGAGACUUCCUGGAGAAACAAAAGGACUAACAAUCAGGAAGGGGAGGUGAUCGGGGCAGGAGUAAAGUGGACACCUCAGCAAAGCCAUUCGCUGUGAUCUCUGAUUGUGCAGUGUCAUGUCCUGUCACCAGAGCCCCCUCGUGUUUGAUGUUGGCCAAUGCCGCCAGCAUGAUCUAGCAGGCCAAAUCCUAAUCUACCAUUCUCUGACACCAGCUGGUCCCCUGGGUCGUCCACCCGAUGUCCCCCAUUCUCCCCACUUGGCCUCCCCCACAGGCUCUCGGCAAAGGACCGUGGGAGGCACCUGUGACACUGCCCUUUUCCUGUGCAGCUGUUUUUCUUCUUCAUUCUUUUCACUCCUCGUUACUCUUUUUUUUUUCACUCUCAGCCCACACAAAACUAGGAACUUUGUUAUUCUACUUAUUUUUCUGUACUCUGUCUGUUUGCACACAGAUGGAUAUCUGAGAGCCAGCGAACUUUCUUUACCUCCUAGUAUCAUUUCAUGAAAAUUAGUAGCACCUGCACAAUGGGGCCUUGGAGACAGGAAUAAAAGGAAAAAUCUGGAAUGGAAUCACAUGACGCAACAGGCUAUGAAGACUCCCUGCCCGGCUGCUAUAUGUCUGGUAAACAGAAUAAAUAGUACUUGAGCAUCCCUG
rnacentral:lncRNA from 1 species